UACCACCAGACCUGUCCGUGGACUGUUAGGAGCCAAGCGGCACAGCAGAGUUGCAAAGUUAUAAGAGGAGGGAGUUCAAAAUAGAAGUAAAAACAAGUAGAAUCAUUUCUCAUAGUAUGGGGUACUGAAGCAGAAAAGGAUGCCCUUCAAUUUGAUAGAAAAGCACUACAUGAAUCCCUGUAAGACUCCACAAAUUAAACUAGGAGCUGUGUCAACCUGCUCUCUGUUUUACAUCCAUGUGGGAGGGUCUACGAGCACUCAUGUGGACAGUGUCUCUGUGCAUCUGUUUAAGAAAUUUUUGCCUACACUGAAGUCACAAGAAUGCUCUCCAAUGUGUUCUUUAAAAAGUCUUAUAGCUUUACUUUUAACAUUUA
rnacentral:lncRNA from 10 species